UUCUUUGUACUUGUUGAUGGAGGAGNACCC
rnacentral:piRNA from 1 species